rnacentral:rRNA from 1 species
UCUAAGGCAGCCCGGACUGUGCUCAUUAACUCGUCCCUAUCCAGCCUGCUCUUAUUCAUUAUGAGCUUCUACAGCCUGCCUGAGACUCUGCACCAUGAGAUUGCUAGAGUUCAGGGGCGCUUCUUCUGGGCUGACGAGGGCGACAAACAGAAGUACCACAUGGUUCGGUGGACUGAGAUCUGUAAGCCUCGCGAUCAGGGCGGUCUCGGGAUCAUGUCCUCCAAACGCAUGAACAUUUCACUCCUGACUAGGUGGCUUUGGCGGAUUACGAACGGUGAGUGUGGCUUAUGGCUCCGCAUCAUCCAGCAGAAAUACCUCCGUGGCCAGCCGCUCGCCUUUUGUCAGCGGUCCGGUGGCUCCCAGUUCUGGCAAUCCAUCAUACAGCUCCUCCCAGUCCUCCGCAUUGGGACCUCGAUUGCGGUUGGAUCUGGCACCGCCACGCUGUUUUGGUUCGAUCGCUGGGCUAGGGACGCCCCCUUCGCGGCUCGUUUU